rnacentral:lncRNA from 1 species
GAACAUAAAGCGGGAAUAGUAAUGGAAACCUGUUUGCAAAUGAAUUGCAACCUUGAAUUUGCAAGUCAUUUUUAGGGUAGGCGCCGGAUGAGUUGGGCGGAGGUAACCUUUGUGCAGAUGAGUUGCCUUCAGGGUUUCCUUUAGGGUUGCUCUGAAUUCUCUGGGUUAGCCUCCAGGGUUUGCUGUCUGUGGGUGUUUUUGUUUUUCCCCUUUCCUCUUUCGUCCUCCCCUCCUUCUG